GGGGGUUGUUGGGGUUUGAAUUGUCAAUUUUAAAGCAUGCAUUACUGAACAAUUAAGUUACUAAUACAAUUAAAAUUAGUUUAUUAUAUAAUGUGGAUGUAUGUUGAAAUAUACUGGAAUCUCUGGAUAAAUAUAUUGAAGAAUGAAAAUUAUAAAUCACCUAAUGGUUGCAGGAAUAGAAGGAGAUUCAUUGUGUACAUGUAUAUUGCAAAAAUAUGCAUCCUUUCCUAUUGGGCUUUCUGUUGUUUUUAUCAAUAUUUGAUUUUCACCUUUGAUGAAGUUUAACAUGCUGUUCUUUUUUGAACAAUGGCACACUUCUACAAUGGACAUCAGAUAUUCAACAACAUAUUUAAGCAG
rnacentral:misc_RNA from 1 species